rnacentral:rRNA from 1 species
GGUUGAAAAGCUGAGAGGACUUGGUGCAGAGCAUGUACAUUAUAUGCCGAUGGGAUCUGCAGUAGAAUAUUAUGACACGCUGGAACCAACACCGGAGAUGCAUCAGAUGUAUGAUAGUGAUGUUACCUUUAUCGGGUCCAUGUACAGUGAGCAGCGCCAGUAUUUGUAUCAUCAUCUGGAAAAUGUGGAUGAAUAUACAAAAGGGUAUCUGGAUGGCAUCAUGCAGGUACAAAAAAGCCUGUAUGGAAUUGAUGUACUGGAGGAGGCUUUGACACCGGAUAUUAUCGGCAGAAUGCAGAAGGUCUGCCCGGUACAGGCAAACGGAGAUGGCAUGGAGACAGUUGCAUGGUCAUUUGCCAAUUAUUUUCUGGCACGUAAAGUUACCCAGAUGAAAACGGCGAGAGCUGCGCGAGUUCCAGAGUACGGCCAGACACGUGAAACCUGGUCGGAAGAUGGGGGGACCACCCUCCAACCCUAAAUACUACCCAGUGACCGAUAGCGUAUAGUACUGUGAAGGAAAGGUGAAAAGGACCCCGGGAGGGGAGUGAAAUAGAACCUGAAACCUUGUGCCUACAAGCACAUAGAGCACAUCAACGUGUGAUAUGGUACUUUUUGUAGAACGGUCCGGCGAGCGAUUGUAUGUUGCGAGCUUAAGGUCUUAAGGACUGGAGGCGUAGCGAGAGCGAGUCUGAAGAGGGCGUUCAGUAACAUGCAAUGGGCCCGAAACCGGGUGACCUACCCAUGAUCAGGCUGAAGUGAAAGUAAAAUUUCAUGGAGGGCCGAACCGACCUCCGUUGAAAAGGCGGCGGAUGAAUUGUGGGUAGCGGAGAAAUUCCAAUCGAACUCGGAGAUAGCUGGUUCUCCCCGAAAUAGCUUUAGGGCUAGCCUCAUAUUAGAUACCCGGAGGUAAAGCACUGAAUGGCCUAGCGCCCGAGAGGGUAGCGAAGCCUAUCAAACUAAGAAUGCCGGAGUAUUGAUGUAUGGGAGUCAGACAGUGUGAGAUAAAUCUCAUUGUCAAAAGGGAAACAGCCCAGAUCUACAGCUAAGGUCCCAAAUUGUAUCUAAGUGGAAAACGAUGUGGAAAUACGCAGACAACCAGGAUGUUGGCUCAGAAGCAGCCACUCAUUUAAAGAGUGCGUAAUAGCUCACUGGUCGAGCGUCUCUGCGCGGAAAAUUUAACGGGGCUAAGAUACAAACCGAAGCUUAGGCUGCAUCGUAAGAUGCGGGGUAGGGGAGCGUUGUGUAAGCGGAGAAACAGUAGCGUAAGCGGCUGUGGAGUUUACAGAAGUGAGAAUGCCGGAAUGAGUAGCGCGAAUGUGGUGAGAAUCCACAUGGCCGGAAACCUCAGGUUUUUGGAGGAAGGUUCGUCCGCUCCAAGUUAGGCGGGAGCUAAGGUCAGGCCGAAAGGCGUAGCCGAUGCACAGACGGUAGAGAUUCCGUCCCCACCGAAAGAUUUAAGCACAGGGACACUUUUUGAAGGUCGGAGCCAGGUGUUGGUUCUGGUAGUGAUCGAGGGAAAUAUAGUACCGAAGUCCGGCUGGAAGAGAGGCGAGAAAAGCUGUGUGUAUAUCUAAGGUGCCCGUACCGCAAACCGACACAGGUAGGUAGGAAGAAGAUUCUAAGGCCAACGGGAGAAGGGUUGUUAAGGAACUCGGCAAGUUGACCCCGUAACUUCGGAAUAAGGGGUGCUCACGAGAGUGAGCCGCAGAGAAUAGGCCCAGGCAACUGUUUACCAAAAACACAGGUUUGUGCUAAAUCGAAAGAUGACGUAUACGAGCUGACGCCUGCCCGGUGCUGGAAGGUUAAAAGGAGAUGUGCAAGCAUUGAAUUGAAGCCCCAGUGAACGGCGGCCGUAACUAUAACGGUCCUAAGGUAGCGAAAUUCCUUGUCAGGUAAGUUCUGACCCGC